rnacentral:rRNA from 1 species
GGCUACACACAUAAUACAAUGGCUACUACAACGCGUUGCGACGAGGUGACUCUGAGCUAACCGUCUAAAAGUAGCCUCAGUUCGGAUUGAAGGCUGCAACUCGCCUUCAUGAAGCUGGAAUUGCUAGUAAUCGCAGGUCAGCUAAACUGCGGUGAAUACGUUCUCAAGUCUUGUACUCACCGCCCGUCAAGUCAAGGGAGCCGGGAGUACCCGAAGUAUCCGCAUAAGCGGGUCCUAAGGUAAGCUCGGUGACAGGGACUAAGUCGUAACAAGGCACGGCUAGCGGAAGCUG